AGAACGUGCCUUUCAGGCAUCCUCUCCCAAAACUUCUCAGGGCUGGUCUUCGGACCGGCCCUUUCUUUUUGGGUGG
rnacentral:sRNA from 1 species